AUUUACAGAAUUUCUGUCUAUAGAUAGUUUUAUUUUCAUUACAUUUUUUUUUUUCAUUUUUAAAUACAGCUACCCAGAUGCUUGUCUUCCCCAUAGUUGUUUCCUCAGGAACUUCCUUCUCAUUUCGUUGGAAGCAGAGCUGCGGAACACACUCUUCCCACAGCAUCUAAGCCACCGUGCUCUGCUAUUCUUCCUUUAGUACAGAUGGUGCCUGCCAUUUUGUCCAUGCUGCAGAUCCUUACCCUAACCCUGCGUGAAGGCUCACCUCAGCAUCUGUGUCCUCUCUUCCAUCACUGAUAUGUCCCCUCCUUUGACGUGGGAUGUCCUUCUGUACACUGCGACAACACUACAUAUCUGCUUCUAAACUACUCUUUUUGGAAAAGCAAUUUGAAAGUGAAACCAAGAUAUUCCGUUUUAAUGGAUCUUACGUGAAGUCAGGAUAUUGCAUUAGACGUUUAUAAGAUUCCUUUGCUCUCCUUAGGUCAGGCCUCUCCUGUGAUGCUCCGCUCCCCGUGCCAAGCCAUGAACUUAAUGAAAUUCCCCCCGAAAACCAGAAACGUUGUAAACUGCUACCACCAAGAGAUCCUUCUCACAAAACGUCUUGUGUUGCCUUCAAAGAGGCUCAUAACUUCAUAAAUUAAAAACCUCGGGGAUCACCCAGGACUGUAGUUCCCCAAGGCCAGGCUCUGGCUUAGGUUUGGUCAUGAUGAAUUUCAUUCAUCAAGUUAGCUGAGUGUAUUUAUUUUGAAGGAAUGUCUUUUGUUCUGCUUUUCAUGAAACGAUACAUUGACAGUGAAAAAUAACACGGUAGUUCUCCCCCGCCCCUCUCUUUCCCUUCCCCUCCUCUGAAAUCAGAAAUUCUGACAACCAGUUUUGCAGAUGGAGAAAGCGAACUUCAGAGAAGUCAUGUGAUUCCCCUAAAAUGACUUACUCUAUUAUUAAAGGAGCAGGAGUCAACCCUGGACCUACUGAUGAAUGAUUUGGUGCCAAGUAAGGAAACGAAUCGCAUAUGAUGAGAGCAGAAAUGUUCAUAUGCUUGAGAAUUCCCAGCUUCCAGGGUUGUUUGGCUAAUGCAGAGCCCAUGUGCUCCAUCACUGUUUUGGCAAAAGGAACAUUCACGCCAUCACGGGUCCUGCAUUUUCCAUUCACUUACCCUUUUCAACAAACCAUAUUGUGCUGAAGGAUCCUGUAGCAUCCUGUGCCUAAGUUGGUACUUUGGAUGAAUAAGGACUUGAACGUAAAUUCCAGCUUUGUUUUUGGCAAUGUCUUUUUAUAUUACAAACUAAUCUCAUUACCUUUCGAGUCCUUUUUGAUUGGCUAAACUUCCUACAGAGUAAAAAGGACAAUGGAAAGGAAAUUGCUUGGUGAUUUGCAUACUACUCUACAGAUUGAAAAGUUAUUGUUGAUAGCUAACAUUAAAAAUUGUGGCAUUCAUCUGAUAGUAUGCCAAGCUUUCAGGGUGAGUAGAGGAGAGUUUUUAAAUUGUCUAUGAAUGUAUGUUGGCAGCAGAUGAAAAGAAGAUGUAUUCAUUCAAAAAGCCCAGAGCUAUGCCUUCUGCAUUUUGUGUUCAUGGCCUUCACUUGCCUCACAUUUUUGAUCCAUUCCUGGGAGCCAAAUGACUCUUUGCACCUGAAACACAUCCUUGGGAGGAAUUUAGUUAGGAGUUGUUUAUUGCCAAUGUUUUCAGCAAAUGGGGGAGUUCAUGUUUUAGUUCCGGAAGCAGAAAUCCCGCAUCCAAGUAAGCCAUUGUGGAGAAGUUUGGCUGUUCACAAAAUUCAGUUGCACUCAGCCUGUGACCGGGUACAUUUAUUUUUAAAUAUGCUCCUAAGAGAAAUGAAAGCAAUUGCCCACAAAAAUUCUCGCCCAAGAAUCUCUACAAACAAUGGUUUUUGACCAGCAAUAAGUGAAUGGAGAGACACAUUGUAGUCUAUUUAAAGAUUUCAAUGCUGCUUAGUAAUGAAUGAA